AUGAGGAUCCCAAAACAGUGCAGGUUUUGUUUUUGUUUUUUUAGGGGGGGGGGGGGGGCAGAAGAAAAAAAAAGUCUCAAGAGUCUCAAAGCGAGUUUGAUUUUUCAGAUCAGAACUCUACGGAACCGUUCCAAGCCCCUACCGCUUGGCAUAAUGAUGAUGAAAGCCAACGAGAGGUUUGGGUCACUGGAACCCAUGCCCUUCCGUCAGUGUGGGAGCGAUCCGUGCCUCCCUCCCCGGGGUGGUUUUAAAAUUCAGCAACCGAAGAGCGGAGACUCCGGCAGGGCCUCCAGGAAACCGUGUCCCUGUAGGGCGGACACCGUCGUCCUCGACUUGCUCUUGCAAAUUUUUUUUUUUUUUUUUUUUUUUUUGUGUGUGACCUGGUCUGGCCGUACGCUUCAACUGGGGGAGGAGGGAGGAAAAGCCCCCGUGCCGGGCCCGCAGCCGGGCGGGGGCGCGGAGCCGUCGGGUCUCAGGCCCGGGGCGCGGCGACCGCCCCCUCCUCGCCUGGCGUUUCGGCCGCAGGGCCCGACCCCCCGCCCGCCCCGGCCCCUUCCCGCUCCGCGCCGGCCGCCCCGCGUCUCGGGUCUGGGGCCCCUUUCGCAGAGCCCCGCAGCGUCAGCGCGGCUCCCCGCGCCCCGGCCCGCGAGGCGUCCGCGGAGGGCGCCGCCCGCGCCGCCAGGGAAGAUGGCGCCCGCGGAGCAACUGCGCCACCAGCCCUGGCGACGGGCCAGGCCCAGCGCCAUCUUAGCGCCUUCCAGCCGCACCCACCCCCACCCCCACCCCCACCCCCCGAAAAAGAUCCCGCAUUCGGGGCGACUCGGGGGGCCGAGCCGCGUGGAGCCCGCGCGCCCGCACAGCGCCGCCGCGGCGCCCCGUCCGCUCGGCCCGGCUGGAGGCGCCCGGCGGGGCCGCGGGUCGGCGGCGCGGCGCGGCGCGGCGCGGCGCGAGGGCUCGGCCGGCCCCGGCCGCGGGUCGCCGGCGCAGCUUCGGAGCCAGGCGGCGAGGCGACCGGGAGGAGGCCGCUCGGGGCUCUCGCCGCCGCCGCCGCCCGCGGGAGCGCCUGGGAGGACGACGCCAGGCAGGAGGAAGCCGGUCCCCGCCGCCGCCGCCGCCGCCGCCGCCCUCCCCGCCGCUCCCCUCCCCCUCCGAGACGCGGGGUCCAUUUUGCCGAGAAGAAAGAAAAUGCGAUUCACACCCAAGAGCUUCCGAGAGAGAAAAGAAACGAGGGGGGGAAAACCGAGGGGAGGAGAUUGGAAAAGCUUAUUUUUCUUCCUCGCCCGCCGUCACUCCUGGCCCUCCCUGCCCCCCGCUCGCGGCCUCGCCGAGCCCCGCUCCCUCCUUCCCGGCUCCCGGCGGCUCCGGGGGGCGGAAAACACACUCACACUCGCGCACACAACUAAUUUUAAACCGGCUCAAUCAAUGAGUCAUUAA
rnacentral:lncRNA from 1 species